GACGAACGCUGGCGGCGUGCUUAACACAUGCGAGUCGAACGGAAAGGCCCUGCUUUUGUGGGGUGCUCGAGUGGCGAACGGGUGAGUAACACGUGAGUAACCUGCCCUUGACUUUGGGAUAACUUCAGGAAACUGGGGCUAAUACCGGAUAGGAGCUCCUGCUGCAUGGGGGGGGUUGGAAAGUUUCGGCGGUUGGGGAUGGACUCGCGGCUUAUCAGCUUGUUGGUGGGGUAGUGGCUUACCAAGGCUUUGACGGGUAGCCGGCCUGAGAGGGUGACCGGCCACAUUGGGCCUGGGAUACGGCCCGGACUCCUCCGGGAGGCAGCAGUGGGGAAUAUUGCACAAUGGGCGGAAGCCUGAUGCAGCAACGCCGCGUGCGGGAUGACGGCCUUCGGGUUGUAAACCGCUUUCGCCUGUGACGAAGCGUGAGUGACGGUAAUGGGUAAAGAAGCACCGGCUAACUACGUG
rnacentral:rRNA from 1 species